GCUGUGUUAGUUUAAUUUUUUAAAAUUUUUAAUUUGUAAUUAAGAGAUAUUUUCAGCU
rnacentral:tRNA from 1 species